UACGUAGGCGGAAGAUUAAGUCAGUGGUGAAAUCCCGCAGCUCAACUGUGGAACUGUCAUCGAUACUGGUUUUCUUGAAUUUAGUUGAGGUAGGCGGAAUGUGUAAUGUAGCGGUGAAAUGCUUAGAUAUUACACAGAACACCGAUUGCGAAGGCAGCUUACUAAACUAUGAUUGACGCUGAGGUACGAAAGCGUGGGGAGCGAACAGGAUUAGAUACCCUGGUAGUCC
rnacentral:rRNA from 1 species